GAUGAACGCUGGCGGCGUGCCUAAUACAUGCAAGUCGAGCGAACGGACGAGAAGCUUGCUUCUCUGAUGUUAGCGGCGGACGGGUGAGUAACACGUGGAUAACCUACCUAUAAGGCUGGGAUAACUUCGGGAAACCGGAGCUAAUACCGGAUAAUAUUUUGAACCGCAUGGUUCAAAAGUUAAAGACGGUCUUGCUGUCACUUAUAGAUGGAUCCGCGCUGCAUUAGCUAGUUGGUAAGGUAACGGCUUACCAAGGCAACGAUGCAUAGCCGACCUGAGAGGGUGAUCGGCCACACGGGAACUGAGACACGGUCCAGACUCCUACGGGAGGCAGCAGUAGGGAAUCUUCCGCAAUGGGCGAAAGCCUGACGGAGCAACGCCGCGUGAGUGAUGAAGGUCUUCGGAUCGUAAAACUCUGUUAUUAGGGAAGAACAUAUGUGUAAGUAACUGUGCACAUCUUGACGGUACCUAAUCAGAAAGCCACGGCUAACUACGUG
rnacentral:rRNA from 1 species